AGCAGCCGCGGUAAUUCCAGCUCCAAUAGCGUAUAUUAAAGUUGCUGCAGUUAAAAAGCUCGUAGUUGAAUUUCGGGAUCAUCAUGUCGGUCGUGCCUCGGUACGUACUGGCAUUGUUGGUUUCUACCUUCUGACGAACCAUGAUGUCAUUUAUUUGGUGUCGUGGGAAAUCAGGACUGUUACUUUGAAAAAUUAGAGUGUUUAAAGCAGGCUCACGCUUGAAUACAUUAGCAUGGAAUAAUGAAAUAGGACGUUUGAUUCUAUUUUGUUGGUUUCUAGGAUCGACGUAAUGAUUAAUAGGGAUAGUUGGGGGCAUUAGUAUUCAAUUGUCAGAGGUGAAAUUCUUGGAUUUAUUGAAGACUAACUACUGCGAAAGCAUUUGCCAAGGAUGUUUUCAUUAAUCAAGAACGAAAGUUAGGGGAUCGAAGACGAUCAGAUACCGUCGUAGUCUUAACCAUAAACUAUGCCGACUAGGGAUCGGAU
rnacentral:sRNA from 1 species